GUGGAUCUUCAUAGUAUGUAUUCUUCAUGGUUUAUUUUGAUUUUUGAUUUAUUUUCAGUAGAUUUGCAUAACAUGCAAUUUAUUUCAAGGUGUAUUUUUUUUUAUUUUUUUUCUACACAUCUUCCUAGCAUGUACUUUUCAGAGUUGUGUUCUUUUUUUUUUCAUGUUCAAAUCUUCAUAACAUGAUUCAGAUCAGAUUGUUUACAUUUAUUGUUGUUUUCCAUGAAAUCCUCAUUCAUUCAGUGACUAACACUUUUGUUUAUCCAUGGUGUCUGUUGCUUCAUCUUUUGCCUUAUGCAUCAUUUAUUGUUAUUAUUUUUGACCUAUUUUCUGUUUACUAUGACAACAUGGUGUAAGCUGCUCUUUUUUGUUUACUUUGGUUAGGUAUUUCCUUUAUGUUCUUUACUCUCAGACCAUGGUUAUUAGUUAUCUGCUUUAUUUUUCCCUAGUGUUUUUGCAUCUCCUUUUGUCUGAUUUACUCUUGUUUUCCUAUAGUCUUGCAUUUCAUUUUGUUUGUUUGAAUCAAUGACUUAAUUGUUUAGUUCUCAUGUUGUUUUUCAUGCCUAUAACAUAUAUAUUUUUUUUCAUAUCAGUUGUAGUGUUCUAUAGCAAUAUGGUUUCCAGAGUUAUUUUCUUUUAUUUUCCUUUUCCGAAUACCAUGAUGCUUAUUUAUUUUCUUUUUCUAUAUUUGUUGUUUCUUUUGAUUUCCUCAUGAACUGACUACCAUUUUUCCUUUGCAUGAUGUCUGGAUUUUUAAUAAGUAUGGUAAUGUGCUUCAUUUAUUUAAAAUAUGUUUAAUUUUUUUGCUUACCUUAUCUACUUUCGGAAUUAGUUGUUUAAUUAUGAUGUUCUUUUUGCCUACAACAUGUCCAGUUUGCAUUUCGAUUGAUUAACUAUAUACCACUAUGGUUUAUGUAGCUAAUUAUUUGUGUUUACCAUGUCCUGAUUACCAUGUUGGCUAUUUAUCUUGGGAGUGUUGAAUAUGAUGAGUUGAAUGCCUGCAUUUUUUGAAGCUAGUGAACCUGUUAUUGUUAUUGGGAUUUCAUCAACAUGUUAUUUUAUUUUAUUUUUUGUUAAUGUUUCCUACUUGUGUUGUCUGUUAACUAUGAUGAGUUGAAUCCCUGCAUCUUUUGAAGUUGGUAAAGCUGCUAUUGUUAUUGGGAUUCAUCAACAUGUUAUUUGAUUUCAUUUUUUGCUAUUGUUUCCUACUUGUGUUAUCUAUUGAAUAUGAUGAGUUGAACCCCUACAUCUUUUGAAGCUAAUGAAGCUAUAUUAUUGUUAUUGGGAGUUUAUCAUCUUUUUUCCUCUCUUGUAGCAAAAAUUUUUUUUUGUUAGCCAUGUCCAUUAUGUAGAGAUCUAUGUACACAUAGAUAAACUCUGUCACUUGUAAAGACGGUAGGUGUUCAUGAGUGGUUUGUAUUGAAUUCAAUAGCUGCUUGUUCAAAUCAAUAAUGAUAUCCUCAAUUAUGUAGAUGGUUAGCUAGAUUUUUAAUGAGUGUGUGAGGUAAUUGGUUGCGGCGUUCACUACAAUUGUUGUGAUUGUUGCCUGCCUAUUUGAGGAAAUGCAUGUCUCUAGGGAUGGGAGAAGGAACCAUCCAUGUUUCGGGACCUAACUAGGGAAAAAAAACAUAUGGAACGUGUUUUAAGGAGCAGCCAUGACUAUUGUGUGAGCUACCUUAGGAUGGAUGUAGGGACUUUUAUGCAUCUUGCAUUUAUCCUGCAUGAUAAGCACCUUCCUCUAGACACGCGACAUAUAUCGGUUGAGGAGCAGUUAGCCAUGUUCUUGCAUAUUGUUGAUCACAACACCAAGAAUAGGACCAUGAGAAUUGAGUUUGUUCGUCUUGUUGAAAUGAUUAAUCGAUACUUUAAUAUCAUUCUCAGAGCUAUUUGUGCCAUUUGAGAUGACUUUGUUCACUCCCCUAGCGGUUCUUGCCACUCAGAAAUUGAGAAGAGCCUAAAUUGGUAUCCCACUACUACAUAACUGCACUUAUGUAGCGAUUACCUUACAGCGGUUAUAAAACUACUACAAUAGGAUGUUUAUUGUAGUGGUUUUGUAGCGCUUUCAUACCGCUGCACGCAAUUUUCUAAGUAAGUAUUACAUUUGACUUAAUCUGUUGCAACAAUCGCUGCAUAUUAGGAUAUAUAUGUAGUAGUUCUACAAUUACUGGAAAUGUUAAAAAAAGCAACGGUUCAUAACUGCUACAUAUGCAUUGUAGUGCAACAGUUUUUAAAAACCGCUGCUUAUGGGUUAUGAUAUGUAGUGGUUUUCUUGUAACUGUUGCGUAUAUGUUAUGAUAGGCAACGUUGCAUGUGUGUUGUGAUAGUAGCGGUUAUGAACCGCUACUUUUAGGGAGAAGCACACUCAUCCACAUCUGAAUCACCAAUAACAAAGUACAUUUAUCAUUUUUUUUGGAUAUAUAUAUAUAUAUAUAUAUUAUUUGUGGGACAAUAUUAUCAGCGAUUACAAAGAAUUUUCCACCACAUAUUUCUUAAUCACAUGACAAGUAUUUUUCCUAUAAAAUAGAGGUUGCUUAAGCAAAAUAAAGACCUAAAGUCAAAUUUGAAAAUGGCCGCUCUAAUUUAAUAAAAUUUAUUUUUUUAUUUAUAUUUGUUUUGCAGAAGCUCAAAAACAAAGAUAAAAAAGUAUCAAUAUAAAUAGAUUUAAAACUUUUUAUUUAUAAUUAAAAAAUGAAUAAUAGAUUAAUCUUAAACAAAGUGCACUAUUUUUGAAAUAGGUUAUUGGAUAUGAUAAAAAUAAGAUUUUUAAAAAAAAUUAGUAGAAAGAAGAUAUGUAAUUAUAUAAUACUUUAAUUUAUUAUUUUAAAAUUUAAAAAAUUAAUUGAUUAUUGGGAGGCCUCCAAUAAAGCGAAGGCUUACAGGUCCCCUUGUGACUAAAUAAAUCAUUAUUAACAUAGUCAUUAAAUUUUUUCAAUAUCUAUGCUUUGGAAUAACAAAAAUUAACAUAAUUUAAAUCUAAAUUAUGUUAUGAAAAAAGCCCCAAUAAAUUCCCUCGCUCUCUCUCUCUUGGCUCUCUUUUUCUCUCUCACUGGGCCUCGCGCUGGUUCAUGCCCUUUUCUCUCUCACGCUUCACGCUUUUGGCCCUCUUCUACACUCUUGCUCUCUCUCUCACUGGUGCUCGAUUGGACUGGUUCACAUCAUCAACCCUGCAAUUGGGAGGAGAACAAUGAGCUCCUUUCUCGUGCUUCCCAAUCCUAGGGCUGGAACCCUCCCUUCAUCACUCUCGCAGGUUCUUGUUGUUGAUUAUGCCUUUGAUUUAGCUACCAUUCAUCGUGUUGUUUGUAUUCCGCUUGUUGAGGUAGUGGCCAUCAAGAUACUUGAUUCUGAGAGGAAUAAUAGUGAUUUGACAAGCCUCGCAUGCCCUGCAUUCUCAGUAGGGGCCUUCUUGAUCUUGGAUCACUGAUUCACCUCUGAUGGUUUUCCCCAAUUUGGAUGCAUUGGUUCCCCUUGUCCUCCUCCAUUUGAUGGAUGAUGAUAUUGGUUCUCAUCAAUUAAGAUCACAUCAAAUUGGGAAUUCAACCCAAUCAAAUGAAAUUGAAAGUCCUAAUCCUGAAGGUUCUUUUCCAAAUGAACAUACCAUUGAAGAGGACAUAGGAGAUCAUACAGAAUCUACUACACAAAUUGGAAGGCUAAAAAGUGUUGUGUGGAGUCAUUUUAAAAAGACUCAAGUUAAUGGGGAGGAUAAAGCUCAAUGUAAUUAUUGUAAGAAAUUACUUAGUGGGAAAUCAAAGAAUGGAAUGAAGCACUUGCAUCUACAUAUGGAAUCAUGUAUCCAAUGAAAGAUUAGCCUAAGAGGGCAGAAACUUAUCACAUCUAAGAUGGUGAAAGGCAAACAAGAAAUGACAACUACAAUCUAUGAUCCAGAAUUUGCAAAAAAGGAGCUAGCUCAAGCAAUCAUUAUGCAUGAAUAUUCACUUUCGAUAGUGGAUCAUCUUGGUUUUAAAAAAUAUUCAUUCGCACUUCAACCAUUAUUCAAAGUUCCUUCUCGAAAUACCUUGAAGAAAGAAAUUUUCAAAAUUUAUGAUGUUGAAAAAACGGUGGCAUUAAAAUUGAUGGACACUAAUGAAGGAAGAGUGGCAAUUACAACAGAUAUGUGGACAGCAAGUAAUCAAUAAAAGGGGUAUAUGGCGAUCACUGCAAACUAUAUUGAUGAUUCUUGGAAUUCUAAAUUUAUAUCAUGAUUAUACAUUAUUUUUCAUAAUAGUAAUAAUUGUUCUUUA